UCUCACCUAAUGCUGGCCAGAGUUGUUGCUGGACUUGCAGCCAUGCCUCUGGAAGGUUCUUCACCUUGUCACGCUGAGAUUCUGGUGAAUUAUUGAAACAGGAAGUUAAAACAAAAGAAAAAUACAAAAGUAACAAAUCGACAUGUCCACACUUGGGGUGACAACUAUGAAAAUGUUACUUUUACUUCAAUUAUGUGCUUCAUAAAAGAGCUAUGAGCAAAUGAGAUGUAAGUGAAGGAGCAACCACUACUUUUGGGGCCACAUUUCAAGCUGUCCUACCUCAUCUGUAUAAGUUCAGCACAAAGAUUUUUAAAGGUAAGUGGUUUUGUUUUGAGUUGACUACCAGGUGGGUACCACAGGGCA